CCUACGGGAGGCAGCAGUAGGGAAUAUUGGUCAAUGGGCGAGAGCCUGAACCAGCCAUGCCGCGUGCAGGAAGAAGGCCCUCUGGGUUGUAAACUGCUUUUGACAGGGGCCAAAAUACUCAUGCGUGAGGAAUUGAGAGUACCUGUAGAAUAAGCACCGGCUAACUCCGUGCCAGCAGCCGCGGUAAUACGGAGGGUGCAAGCGUUGUCCGGAUUUAUUGGGUUUAAAGGGUGCGUAGGUGGCCUUAUAAGUCAGUGGUGAAAGCCUGCAGCUUAACUGUAGGACUGCCAUUGAUACUGUAGGGCUUGAGUACUGAUGAGGUAGGCGGAAUUGAUAGUGUAGCGGUGAAAUGCAUAGAUAUUAUCAAGAACACCGAUUGCGAAGGCAGCUUACUAAGGAGUUACUGACACUGAGGCACGAAAGCGUGGGGAUCAAACAGGAUUAGAUACCCUGGUAGUCCACGCCAUAAACGAUGAUUACUCGAUGUAUGCGAUAGAUAGUAUGCGUCCAAGCGAAAGCGUUAAGUAAUCCACCCUGGGGAGUACGACCGCAAGGUUGAAACUCAAAUGAAUUGACGGCUUAGAGAGNGCGACGGACGACACGGAGGGAGGAG
rnacentral:rRNA from 1 species